GGUUGUUCGGCGAGAGCCGCGCUAGGCUGUAAGACCUGAGCCGGGCGGAGAAGCAGAGGAGAGGGACGCUGGAAGCACGUUUGGCCCGGGACAGAAAUCUGGAGAGCUUGGCUACCUCCAUCCUCCUCAGGCCGGAGCAGGCUUCCUGAGAGAGUCCAGGUCGUAGGAGUUUUACGACUUAGAAAAGCGGGCUGCAGAUUCCUUCCUGGGUGUUUGGUUCAAGCCUUGGCUCCGGCCUUACUCUCAGUCUUCCCGGGAGUUCGUGGGAUUUGGACCUUAGAUUAUUAGUAUUAUUUUGAGGGCCUCCUGUGUGUAAGCACUGGUUGUGCGCAGAUGGCUGUGCAGAGGGCCAUGAGGUAGAGGCUGGGGAAAUGAGGGCUUGGAGGUGCUUGAGGUAUGGUCUUUACCUACGUGAAAUGUUGGAGGCACCAUUCCGAGUGCAGUGGCUACAAAGACUAGUAGAACAUAGUCCUGGUUCUUUAGGAACUCUGCGAUUGAGCAAGUGGCAGAGAGGGCGGAAAACGUGAACUGGUUGAGAUGAAAACUCUUGCUUUGAAUUCUUCAUGGAGGACAUCAUUUCAAUCCUGAAUCUGGCUCAAUUCUAUUAUUCACUUAUUACUGUAUUAAAAACGUUUAAUUGGCCAGGCACAGUGGUUCACGCCUGUAAUCCCAGCACUUUGGGAGGCCAAGGCAGGCGGAUCACUUGAGGUCAGGAGUUCGACACCAGCCUGGCCAACAUGGCAAAACCCCGCCUCUACUAAAAAUACAAAAAUUAGCCAGGCGUGGUGGCACACACCUGUAAUCACAGCUACUUAGGAGGCGAGGUGGCAGAAUUGUUUGAACCCAGGAGGUGGAGGUUGCAGUGAGCCGAGAUCACACCACUGCACUCAAGCCUUGGCAUCAGAGUGAGACUCUGUCUCAGUAAAAAAAAAUAAAUAAAUAAAAAUGUUUAAUUAACCAUGA